AUGGUUAAUUUCGGGAAGGUACUGGCGUCGGAUCAAUUGGAAGAGUGGAAAGAAUACUAUAUUAAUUACAAAAUGAUGAAGAAAAAGGUAAAACAGUAUGUUCAGCAGACUCAAGAUGGUGGAAGAAAUCAUGAACAGGUUCUUAAGGAGUUCUCAAGGAUGCUUGACGAACAGAUUGAAAAGGUUGUGCUCUUUCUACUGACACAGCAAGGUCAUCUUGCUAGCAGGCUCGAGAAAUUGGGACAACAGCGUGCCAUACUCACGGAACAUUCCGAUAUAUCACAAGUUUCUCAAGUGCGAGAGGCGUAUAGGCAAGUUGGGCUUGAUCUUGUGAAGCUCCUUAGAUUUGUUGAUAUGAAUGCUACUGGGAUCCGGAAGAUUCUUAAGAAGUUCGAUAAGCGCUUCGGCUAUCGGUUUACAGAUUAUUACGUCUCGACUCGUGCAAACCAUCCUUAUUCUCAGCUUCAGCCGAUCUUCAAGCAAGUGGGUAUCGUAGCUGUUGCUGGUGCUUUGACACGUAACCUUGCAUCUCUGCAAGAUCACCAAGGAAGCUUUAUAUCCAUCUAUGAUCACCCAUCAAUCACCUUGAAGGACCCUGUCAUCGAACAAAUAAAUAAUUCAGUACAGAAACUCACGCACAGCACAACCUUCCUUACAUUCCUAGGACAACACGCAAUGAUCAUUCCAGAAGACGUGCAAACUAGCUCGGAAGAUCUCGUCGAUGACCAGAGCUACCAUUUCAUGUCGCUGAUGCUCAACCUAGUGAACACAUUCCUCUACAUGGUGAACACAUACAUCAUCGUGCCGACUGCAGAUGACUAUUCGGUGAGCCUUGGUGCCGCAGCGACUGUUUGCGGUGUGAUUAUCGGGUCGAUGGCAGUUGCCCAAGUGUUCUCUUCGGUAUAUUUCAGUGCCUGGUCCAACAGGUCAUACUUUAGGCCCCUCGUAUUCAGCAGCAUCAUGCUGUUUUCCGGGAACGUGCUGUACGCUUUGGCGUAUGAUCUGAAUUCCCUAACUGUUCUCAUACUUGGCCGGCUGCUCUGCGGGUUGGGUUCUGCCAGAGCUGUGAACCGUCGGUAUAUCAGCGACUGUGUGCCUCUAAAAAUCCGGCUGAAAGCCUCUGCAGGGUUCGUCAGUGCUAGUGCGCUUGGAAUGGCAUGCGGUCCUGCGCUGGCUGGUUUGCUGCAGACUGAAUUUAAGAUCUAUGCAGUAACUUUUAAUCAGAACACCUUGCCCGGGUGGAUCAUGUCCCUUGCUUGGGUUGGCAAUUUGAUUUGGCUAUGGAUUUCAUUCAAAGAGCCAGAUCACUUUGCUAAAGAGAAUGCUGUCAACACACAGUCAUCUGAUUCCGGCCAUGGACGAAAUGAUAAUUUGGAGGGCGGUUUAGCACAGCCUUUGCUCACAGAGGCAAAGGAGAGGCAGGGUGAAAAUGCAGACAACAACGAAAACGACCCCAAAGAGAGUCAUAAAGCAGCAACAUCGAUUGCCGCAGCAUACAGAUUGCUCACGCCAUCUGUGAAGGUUCAGUUAUUGAUCUACUUCAUGCUCAAGUUUGCAAUGGAGAUUCUACUCUCCGAGUCUAGUGUUGUCACUACGUUCUAUUUUAACUGGUCCACGAGCACGGUGGCCAUCUUUCUAGCUGUUCUAGGGCUGACGGUUCUUCCGGUCAACGUCAUCGUGGGAAGCUAUAUCACCAAUCUGUUCCAGGACAGGCAAAUCUUGGUGGCGUCUGAGAUCAUGGUCCUGAUCGGCAUCGCCUCGAGCUUCCACUUCGGCUCCAGCUACUGCGUUGCUCAGUACGUCGUGUCGGCUCUCAUCACGUUCGUAUUCGCCGAGGUUCUUGAAGGGGUCAACCUGUCCCUCCUGUCCCGGGUGAUGUCGUCGAGGCUCUCCCGGGGCACCUACAACGGCGGCCUCCUCUCGACGGAGGCUGGGACGCUGGCCCGCGUCGCAGCGGACAUGACGAUCACCGCGGCGGGGUACCUGGGGCAGAGCCAGCUCCUGAACGCCACCCUGCUGCCGUCCCUGGUGAUCUGCGUAGCCUCCAUCGCGGCGACGUUCGGCACUUAUAACACCCUGUACUGA
rnacentral:rRNA from 1 species